GGAUGUGAGGGCCAUCUGGUUGUGACGUCUGUCACCCCAUUGACUGCCAGAAUUGAUUCCGCAGACCUGGCAGGCUAGGCAGGUGUCCACUUCCUCCCUCACCACUCCAGGUGUGUCCCUCCCUAAGCUGCACACUUGGUGGAAGAGGAUGACCUUCCCCGAUAGAGGAAGAUCAUUCUUCCAUGAAGGGCAUAUGAGCAGCUGUGCUCCCCUACAGGAACCUCCAAACAAGCCCUCAACGUCCAUUUGUAGGAAAAUGUAGGAUAGUCAAGCUUCCAAGCCUGCAGACACUUCCAAAUGAGGCAUUGCACGUGGCAGUCUGCCUUU
rnacentral:snRNA from 1 species